rfam:Ovis aries breed Texel chromosome 14, whole genome shotgun sequence.
UUACUGGUGGUCCAGUGGCUAAGAUGCUGCACUCCCAAUGCAGGGGGCCCAGGUUCGACCCCUGGUCAGGAAA